rnacentral:lncRNA from 1 species
UUUCAAUUUAAGUAAAGGGGAAAGGAGUGACGUUCAAAUUGCAUGUUCGUUGCCAUACAACUUUUCCAAGCUCUCUGCUUCCUAUUGCUGACUUUAUAGUGCACCCAGGGCUAGUCUGAGAUUAGUGUUUGGAUGCCACAGUACGUUCAGUGUCUGAGAGUCUACCUUCUGUACUAACCCAUACCAAGGAACUAUUCCAUGAACUUUUUUUUUUCUUACAGAAAUGUUCAUUUUGUGCCAUUCUUUUGUUAUUCAGUACAUAAAAUCACCACAGAGCACAGAGCACAGAACCCUCUAUGAUGGCAAUGCUCUGGCAACUCACAACAAAUAGAAAACAAAACCAGAAGUCAGGACUUGAAAAAACAGCUGAAGAUACCCAGAAAUGGCAACAAGAAAUUUUCACGGGUCCAGACAAUGAACAUACUAUCAAUAAGUCAGAGGCAGAAAUACUAUCACUAAAACCAUGGAAGAAGUCCUGGAAUCUCGAUUAAGGUACUCUCAGGUGUGCAAAACUGAAAUCCGUAACAGGAUUUUUAGAAGAUCCUUGGUUCCCCUGAUGUCUG